UACGUAGGUGGCAAGCGUUAUCCGGAAUUAUUGGGCGUAAAGGGUGCGUAGGCGGUUUAUUAAGUCUAUGGUGAAAGUGCGGGGCUCAACCCCGUAUGGCCAUAGAAACUAGUAGACUUGAGUGCAGGAGAGGGCAAUGGAAUUCCAUGUGUAGCGGUAAAAUGCGUAGAUAUAUGGAGGAACACCAGUGGCGAAGGCGGUUGCCUGGCCUGUAACUGACGCUGAAGCACGAAAGCGUGGGGAGCAAAUAGG
rnacentral:rRNA from 1 species